GAUUAAUUGAAAAGGGCGUUUGGUGGAUGCCUUGGUAUUAAGAGACGAUGAAGGAAGUGGAAGACUGCUAUAAGCUUCGGGGAGCUGUCAAUCAAGCUUUGAUCCGGAGAUUUCCGAAUGGGGAAACCUGCUAAAGAAAAACUUUAGCAUCUAGGUAUGAAUAUAUAGUGUCUAGAAGUGAACGGCGUGAACUGAAACAUCUAAGUAACGCUAGGAAAAGAAAACAAAGUUGAUUCCCCAAGUAGUGGUGAGCGAAAAGGGAAGAGCCUAAACUCAUGCCAUGUGAUAAUCUGUGUGUGUUGUGGUGUGGGGGUUGUGAGGUACGUUUUCUAAAGCGCACAGGCUUUAGGUUAAGUCUGCUAUUUUAGUAAAAUCGCUCUGGAAAGGGCAACCAAAGAAGGUGACAGUCCUGUAUAUUAAAAAAUAGAAAGUGUAAUUAAUGUAUCCUCGAGUAUCAUGGAGCACGUGAAAUUCUGUGAGAAUCUGCCCGGACCAUCGGGUAAGGCUAAAUACUACUUAAUGACCGAUAGCGCACAAGUACCGUGAGGGAAAGGUGAAAAGAACCCCGGAAGGGGAGUGAAAUAGAAACUGAAACCAAAUGUCUACAUAACGGUAGAAGCACAGUAUACGUACGUGCGACUACGUACCUUUUGCAUAAUGAGCCAACGAGUUAUCUUGCGUUGCAAGGUUAAGUUUUGAAAGAACGGAGCCGUAGCGAAAGCGAGUCUUAAUAGGGCGAAUAGUAACGCUGGAUAGACCCGAAGCCCAGUGAGCUAUCCAUGUCCAGGAUGAAGUCUCGGUUAAACGAGAUGAAGGUCCGAACCGGUGUGGGUUGAAAACUGCUCGGAUGAGGUGUGGAUAGGAGUGAAAGGCUAAUCAAACUGGGAAAUAGCUGGUUCUCCUCGAAAUAUAUUUAGGUAUAGCCUCGUUGAAUGUAUUAUGGCGGUAAAGCACAGUUGAAGUUUUGGGGGCGCAAGCUUACCGGGCUUUUACUAACUCUGAAUGCUAUAGUAUGAAGAAAACGGGAGUCAGACUGUGGGGGAUAAGCUCCAUGGUCGAAAGGGAAACAGCCCAGAUCAUCAGUUAAGGUCCCUAAGUGUCCGUUAAGUGGGAAAAGAAGUGAAAAAGCUAAGACAGUCAGGAGGUUGGCUUAGAAGCAGUCAUCCUUUAAAGAAAGCGUAACAGCUCACUGAUCAAGUCUUUUUGCGCUGAAGAAUAAACGGGGCUCAAACGGACCACCGAAGCUAUGAUUUGCAAUAUAUUUAUAUAUUGCAGAGGUAGAGGAGCGUUCUUCAAUAGAUACAAGUUUGACUGUAAAGACAAAUGUCGUUGAUUGAAGAAGUGAGCAUGUUGGUAUAAGUAACGAAAAAAUAGGUGAAAUUCCUGUUCGCCGAAAGUCUAAGGGUUCCUUGGGAAAGGUUUAUCCACUCAGGGUUAGUCGAAAUUCUAAGUCGAGGUCAAUUGAAGUAGGCGAUGAAAAACAGGUUAAAUAUUCCUGUACCACUUUGCAGCGCUUGAGUGAAGGAGUGACGCAGAAGGAUAGGCUAGGUUAAUGUUUGGAUGUUAAUUUAAGCGCUUAGAAAUGUCGUGUUGGCAAAUCCGCAUGACUUUAUUUUAAGGCGUUAUGAGUAUAUCAAUUCUAAAAGAAAAGAUGUAUCUAGCUGAUUUCACACUGACUAGAAAAACUUCUAGCAAUGUUGUUAAAGUGACCGUACCGUAAACCGACACAGGUAGACAAGAUGAAAAUUCUAAGGCGUUGAGAUAAUUAUCAUUAAGGAACUCGGCAAAAUUGCCCCGUAACUUCGGGAUAAGGGGUGCCUGUAUUGUUCUUAAAGUUUACUUUAAGCGCAUUAACAGGUGACACUAAAGAGGCCCAAUCGACUGUUUAACAAAAACACAGAUCUCUGCAAACUCGUAAGAGGAAGUAUAGAGGUUGACGCCUGCCCAGUGCCGGAAGGUUAAUGGGAGGGGUUAGUCCGUAAGGAUGAAGCUCUAAACUGAAGCCCCGGUAAACGGCGGCCGUAACUAUAACGGUCCUAAGGUAGCGAAGUACCUUGUCGGGUAAAUUCCGACCCGCAUGAAUGGCGUAACGAGUUGGGCGCUGUCUUGAUGAUAAACUCAGUGAAUUUGUAGUGCCGGUGAAAAUGCCGGCUACCCGCGGAAGGACGGAAAGACCCCGUGCACCUUUACUAUAACUUGACAUUGUUUUUUGAAUUAAUUUGUGUAGGAUAGGCGGGAGACUGUGAUGCUGUGGUGCUAGCUGCAGCGGAGUCAACCUUGAAAUACCGCCCUUAUUGAUUUAAGAAUCUAACUUUGUUCCGUAAUCCGGACAAAAGACAGUGUCUGGUGGGUAGUUUGACUGGGGUGGUCGCCUCCCAAAAAGUAACGGAGGCGUUCAAAGGUUCUCUCAUAACGAAUAAACGUCGUUUGUUGAGCGUAAAGGCACAAGAGAGCUUGACUGUGAGACAUACAGGUCGAACAGGUGCGAAAGCAGGACUUAGUGAUCCAGUGGUUUCUGAAUGGAAAGGCCAUUGCUAAACGGAUAAAAGGUACGCCGGGGAUAACAGGCUGAUCUCCUCUAAGAGUCCAUAUCGACGAGGAGGUUUGGCACCUCGAUGUCGGCUCAUCACAUCCUGGGGCUGAAGAAGGUCCCAAGGGUUUGGCUGUUCGCCAAUUAAAGUGGUACGCGAGCUGGGUUCAGACCGUCGUAAGACAGGUCGGUCCUUAUCCGCCGUGGGCGUAGGGUAUUUGAGGAGGGCUGUCUCUAGUACGAGAGGACCGAGAUGGGCAAACCGCUAGUGUUCCAGUUGUUCUCCAAGAGCAACGCUGGGUAGCUAAGUUUGUAAGAGAUAACCGCUGAAAGCAUCUAAGUGGGAAACUCGCUCCAAGAUUAGAUGCCCCGUGUAGGGAUAAAACCUUACACUUAAUUAAGAUCCCUUGAAGACUACGAGGUUGAUAGGCUGGGUGUGUAAGCACAGUAAUGUGUUCAGCUAACCAGUACUAAUAGAUCGAAUGUUUUAAUC
rnacentral:rRNA from 1 species